CAGCCGCCGCGGGAACACGAAGGGUGCAAGCGUUAAUCGGAAUUACUGGGCGUAAAGCGUGCGUAGGCGGUGAGUUAAGUCUGCUGUGAAAUCCCCGGGCUCAACCUGGGAAUGGCAGUGGAUACUGGCUCGCUAGAGUGUGUCAGAGGAUGGUGGAAUUCCCGGUGUAGCGGUGAAAUGCGUAGAGAUCGGGAGGAACAUCAGUGGCGAAGGCGGCCAUCUGGGACAACACUGACGCUGAGGCACGAAAGCGUGGGGAGCAAACAGGAUUAGAUACCCCCGUAGUCCCUGUCUCUUAUAC
rnacentral:rRNA from 1 species